CCUUACCCGGGCUUGAAAUGCAUCUGACCGGCCUUGAAAGAGGUUUUCCCUUUCGGGCAGAUGUGUAGGUGCUGCAUGGUUGUCGUCAGCUCGUGCCGUGAGGUGUCGGCUUAAGUGCCAGUAACGAGCGCAACCCUCAUCCAUUAGUUACCAUCAGGUAAGGCUGGGGACUCUAAGUGAGACUGCCAUCGUAAGAUGUGAGGAAGGUGGGGAUGACGUCAAAUCAGCACGGCCCUUACGUCCGGGGCGACACACGUGUUACAAUGGGUGGUACAAAGGGCAGCUACCUGGCGACAGGAUGCUAAUCUCCAAAACCACUCUCAGUUCGGAUCGGAGUCUGCAACUCGACUCCGUGAAGCUGGAUUCGCUAGUAAUCGCGCAUCAGCCACGGCGCGGUGAAUACGUUCCCGGGCCUU
rnacentral:rRNA from 1 species